GACGAACCGUGCAAACGUUAUUCGGAAUCACUGGGCAUAAAGGGCGCGUAGGCGGCUUCAUAAGUCAGGGGUGAAAUCCGGCAGCUUAACUGUCGCAGUGCCUUUGAUACUGUGGAGCUCGAGGGAGGUAGGGGUCUGUGGAACUUCCGGUGGAGCGGUGAAAUGCGUUGAUAUCGGAAGGAACGCCGGUGGCGAAAGCGACGGACUGGAUCUCUUCUGACGCUGAGGCGCGAAAGCCAGGGGAGCAAACGGG
rnacentral:rRNA from 2 species